rnacentral:rRNA from 1 species
UGGGGAAUAUUGGACAAUGGGCGGAAGCCUGAUCCAGCAACGCCGCGUGAGGGAUGACGGCCUUCGGGUUGUAAACCUCUUUCAGUACCGACGAAGCGUGAGUGACGGUAGGUACAGAAGAAGCACCGGCCAACUACGUGCCAGCAGCCGCGGUAAUACGUAGGGUGCGAGCGUUGUCCGGAAUUAUUGGGCGUAAAGGGCUCGUAGGCGGUUUGUCGCGUCGGGAGUGAAAACACCGGGCUUAACUCGGUGCUUGCUUUCGAUACGGGCAGACUAGAGGUAUGCAGGGGAGAACGGAAUUCCUGGUGUAGCGGUGAAAUGCGCAGAUAUCAGGAGGAACACCGGUGGCGAAGGCGGUUCUCUGGGCAUGACCUGACGCUGAGGAGCGAAAGUGUGGGGAGCGAACAGGAUUAGAUACCCUGGUAGUCCACACCGUAAACGUUGGGCGCUAGGUGUGGGGCCUAUUCCAUGGGUUCCGUGCCGCAGCUAACGCAUUAAGCGCCCCGCCUGGGGAGUACGGCCGCAAGGCUAA